rnacentral:tRNA from 1 species
CAUUAGAUGACUGAAAGUAAGUAAUGACCUCUUAAGUCAUUUUAUAGUAAUUAACAUCUGCUUCUAAUGA